AUUGAACGCUGGCGGCAGGCCUAACACAUGCAAGUCGAGCGAGCGGCGGACGGGUGAGUAAUGUCUGGGGACUGACCGAUAGAGGGGGAUAACUACUGGAAACGGUAGCUAAUACAGCAUACUAUCGGAUAACCAAUAUGGGAUUAGCUAGUAGGUGGGGUACAGGCUAACCUAGGCGACGAUCCCUCGCUGGUCUGAGAGGAUGAUAAGCCACAUGGGGACUGAGAUACGGCCCAGACUCCUACGGAGGCAGCAGUGGGGGAUAUUGCACAAUGGGCGAAAGCCGGAUGCAGCGACGCCGCGUGGGGGAUGAAGGCUUUCGGGUUGUAAACCUCUUUCGCUAUCUAACGGGUAGGUGGAGAAGAAGCGCCGGCUAACUACGUGCCAGCCGCCGCGGUAAUAC
rnacentral:rRNA from 1 species